CUUUGCUAUUUGCACUCAAAGGCAAUAUGUGAAAAUGACUUAUCUUGGCAUAUGCUAGUGCAUGUGAGAAAUAAAGGUCUGUUUUAGGAAUAUAAUACCAUUAUAUACAAAAAUUUACAAGGUCGCUAGGUUUUAAUGCGAAUUUGUAUAAACUUUAACACCAUGCGUUGGAGCUUGUAACAGAAUAAGCAUGUUUACUUGCAUGUGUGAUACACAGACAUACUGAAUGAUUGAGUUCUAUAUUUGUGAAAACUAAAAUAAUAACUUUAUUCAACAUUCCACAACGUGGUUAAAGAUCGAUGGUAGUGAACAAUAUGAAGCAAGUAAUAUAAGAAACUCAAAAAUUCAGGAAAUAUUUUCAUGGAAUCCCAUUCUGACGAUGCAUUUGAACUAUUAAUCAUGAAAGCAUAUUACAGUAUCUGGUGACACUGCUUAGUAUCUUGUCCUGUAUUUGCGGAAAAUGACGGUGAAAUUCAACUACCAUUUUGCGACAUGCAUAGUGGAACAUUGGUGAAAGCCAUAAAACAUUUGCUCCUGCCUUAACUUGGACGGCAUGCAGAACAAUACGUAUUCUUUAUUCGUGUGUACUCUGAGCGAAUAACGAACUUAGGAAAAUGAAUUAAUGGCUAAUGCACUAGUCAUAAAGAUUAAUAUCUUCAGCUGACUAUUUCCAACGGAGAAUAUUUCUGCCAUGCCAUUCUCGUUCAAUAAAAACUGCAAAAUCGGCUGUUAUUCAAUUAGAUGAAACAGACGUGUAACAUUGCAAACGAAACGAGACGGCUAGUGUCAGCGGUAUUACAAAAAUUGUACGCUCUAGCCGAGGAUUAAUCCUGGAUUGAAAAACUAAACGUGAAUAAUUAUUGUAUCUGUUGGAGAAAUAUAAAACAUCUGCUACAAUCAGCAAGUGUUGGUUUCUGAUUUACAAGUUUAACCAUGCAGCCAAAUGCAAAUGUUUACUUUAUGGAAAGAAUUAAAGUUUUAUUACGGUGUAAUGAUGGCACUAACUAUAUAUCAUCUAUGCUUGUUUGAAAUACUGAAAAUGACAGUCUUAUUCGCGCACUUUCAAAGGUUACCAUAUCAGUUUCUUCGAAAGCUUGAAAGAACAUCCUUGUAGCAAAACCGUCCUGGAAUCCGUAGUUAACUCUUGCGGUUAUGAGAGCUUUUAAUAAUAUAUGGUAUGAUCGGCUGAAAUGAAAACAAUCAUUCACAUGCGACUUUAUAUGCCUGUGUGUACACGAAUGUGCAUGCAUGGUUCAAUUGUGGUGUUGCUUGUACAAAUGAAAAGUAGAAAUUUGUCAACGGAAACCAAAUAUCAGAAGAAUUACACGUAUACAAUUAGGACUCUGCAAAAGUGUACGAAAAGAAUAUUUACAGUCCACAAGGUAGUACAAGGACGGAAAAUUUGUAAAGGUAUAGAUAACUAAGGACAUAUUAUACAUAUAUCAAAUUUAAAUUAAAUUUUAAAAACAUUUACUAAUAAUAAUCGGUUAACAUUCUACCAUUUUACCGACCUUUCUUAUUAAAUAAAGAAUAUUGCUAGAAUAAAGUGUGAGAGAUGUUAGAAUUUUCAAGAGCUGCUCAAACUUUAAGAUAUCUGGUAAAACAAAAUUUUGGUAGGAUUUUUGUUAAAUAAUCGUUACCAUCUUCAAAGAUGUAUCCACAACGUUCA
rnacentral:lncRNA from 1 species